GUCAGUGUCCACACAAAGAUUAUUGAACAUGAGAGUUGUACCUGAAGGGACAAAUAGUCAUCAGGCCAUACAAUAGCUUAUGUUGAUGGCACAAGAAGGUCUUGCAACUGGGUGUAGCUCAAUUGAGGAGUGACUGCCAUUGAGGAAGAAACCUAAUAUAGGUGGCAGGGGAGGUGGCUGCAAGGGCAAUUGAGCAUGG
rnacentral:lncRNA from 1 species